rnacentral:rRNA from 1 species
UACAGAACGCCCGGGCUUCGGCCUGGUUAUUCAUAACCCUUUGUUGUCCGACUCUGUUGCCUCCGGGGCGACCCUGCCUUCGGGCGGGGGCUCCGGGUGGACACUUCAAACUCUUGCGUAACUUUGCAGUCUGAGUAAACUUAAUUAAUAAAUUAAAACUUUUAACAACGGAUCUCUUGGUUCUGGCAUCGAUGAAGAACGCAGCGAAAUGCGAUAAGUAAUGUGAAUUGCAGAAUUCAGUGAAUCAUCGAAUCUUUGAACGCACAUUGCGCCCCCUGGUAUUCCGGGGGGCAUGCCUGUUCGAGCGUCAUUUCACCACUCAAGCCUCGCUUGGUAUUGGGCAACGCGGUCCGCCGCGUGCCUCAAAUCGUCCGGCUGGGUCUUCUGUCCCCUAAGCGUUGUGGAAACUAUUCGCUAAAGGGUGUUCGGGAGGCUACGCCGUANAACAACCCCAUUUCUAAGGUUGACCUCGGAUCAGGUAGGGAUACCCGCUGAACUUAAGCAU